GAUGAACGCUGGCGGCGUGCCUAAUACAUGCAAGUCGAGCGAACAGACGAGGAGCUUGCUCCUCUGACGUUAGCGGCGGACGGGUGAGUAACACGUGGAUAACCUACCUAUAAGACUGGGAUAACUUCGGGAAACCGGAGCUAAUACCGGAUAAUAUAUUGAACCGCAUGGUUCAAUAGUGAAAGACGGUUUUGCUGUCACUUAUAGAUGGAUCCGCGCCGCAUUAGCUAGUUGGUAAGGUAACGGCUUACCAAGGCAACGAUGCGUAGCCGACCUGAGAGGGUGAUCGGCCACACUUGAACUGAGACACGGUCCAGACUCCUACGGGAGGCAGCAGUAGGGAAUCUUCCGCAAUGGGCGAAAGCUUGACGGAGCAAUGCCGCGUGAGUGAUGAAGGGUUUCUGAUCGUAAAACUCUGUUAUUAGGGAAGAUCAAAUGUUUAAGUAACUAUGCACGUCUUGACGGUACCUAAUCAGAAAGCCACGGCUAACUUCGUG
rnacentral:rRNA from 1 species